rnacentral:rRNA from 1 species
CDSGGCGGCGGGACCCCGAACGACCAGAAACGGAGUUCCCUUCGGGGACGCUAAGACAGGUGGUGCAUGGCUGUCGUCAGCUCGUGUCGUGAGAUGUUGGGUUAAGUCCCGCAACGAGCGCAACCCUUGUUAUUAGUUGCCAGCAUUAAGUUGGGCACUCUAAUGAGACUGCCGGUGACAAACCGGAGGAAGGUGGGGAUGACGUCAAGUCAUCAUGCCCCUUAUGACCUGGGCUACACACGUGCUACAAUGGACAGUACAACGAGAAGCGAGCCUGCGAAGGCAAGCGAAUCUCUGAAAGCUGUUCUCAGUUCGGACUGCAGUCUGCAACUCGACUGCACGAAGCUGGAAUCGCUAGUAAUCGCGGAUCAGAACGCCGCGGUGAAUACGUUCCCGGGUCUUGUACACACCG